AAAAAAAAAAAAAAAGAAAAAAGAAACUGCUAGACUAUUUUUUCUUGAUUCUGAUAUAUUUCAAAUUUGAUUCAAGAAAUAUUAUUUAAUCUCUCAUAGAAGGCGAGAUCCUGUGAGGGAAUUCAAUUGCGAUCCACGGAGAGAGGAUGAGCUACUUAUUAACGACGCUGACGAAGAAGAAGGAAGUAGACUCCAUUAUCAGAGACACCAUCGACAAGGUCCUUGUCCUCCGCUUUGGCCGAGCCUCUGACGCCGUCUGCCUUCACCUCGAUGACUUGGUAUGAUUGAUUCUUACCUUCGCCCUUUCUUUGUUUAGGGUUAUGAUUUUUGUUUCUCUUAGUUUAUUGAAAUUGUUCUCAAAUUGCAGCUGUCUAAAUCUUCACGCGAGGUUUCGAAAUUCGCAACUGUGGCAUUAGUAGACAUAGAUUCAGAGGAUGUUCAAGUUUAUGUCAAGUAUUUCGACAUUGUUUUGAUACCUUCUACUGUGUUUUUCUUCAAUGCCCAUCAUAUGAAAAUGGAUUCUGGGUAAUUUUUUAUUAAUUGUUAAUUCUUUUUUCUUUAAAAAAUAUAAAAUAAGCAAACGAAGAACAUAUUUUUCUUAUUGAGGGAUUUUCUAAUUGUUGAUUCAGGACUGCUGAUCACACUAAAUGGAUUGGGGCCUUCCACACCAAACAGGACUUCAUUGAUGUAGUGGAGGUUUGUCUUGUCAAUUUAGCUUUUUUUUUUUUUAACUUCAAUUUGUGUUUAUAAUGCAGGCAAUUUUUAGAAUAAGAGUUCCAUGCUCCAUUAUUUUCAUUCCCAUCUGUGGAUUGAUGAAAUUUCUUUUUAUCUGUUAUUGGAUCAGAGAAAGCCUAGAAGAGUAAUAUGGCGUCGCAUGGCAACUUGCAAGAAUUUCUAUCUCAUAUUUUAUCUUUAAACAAUCUAAGCAAUAUAUUUGAUUUGAACACACUGAAAAUUUCAACCACAAAUUGUUAAAUUAUGAUUGAUGCUUUUAUAGUCCUAUUGCUGAAUGAACUUAUUAGGGGAAAAGUACUAAGUGUGUUAAACUAGCCUUCAAUCUUUGUCUUGUCAUAUGGAUUAAUUGUUUACCUCCUGGCUGCAAUUUCCGUUGGAGUUACAGUAUUAUAUGUUGGCAAAAGCUGGAAAUUCCUGGCCAUGCGUAAAAAAUAUCCAUUCUUGAUUUUCAUUGAGGAUAUAGUUUAUGAUCUUUUGGCACUUGGAAAAAUCCACAAUCUAUGCUUUUCAAAAAACGGCUGGGUUUUUUAUUUUUUUCUCCCAUCAAGCUAUUCAAAUGAGUAGUUAAUUACUCGCCCAUUUGAAUCAUCAAGAAAAUAAAUAUGACUAUAUGAGACAGCUAGGAAAUUGAAAAAGAGUUCAUGAAGCGAGGAGGCUUUGAACUAUUUAGGUUCAUAUGGUUUGUCUAUAACAAAUCUAGUAAAUGGAGGUUGUAUAGACUCUGUAUUUCUCUAAGUUCAAUUUGCUUGGUGUGAACUUAAGAAAACCAUUAAGUUCAAAAUGAUCAUGGUAACAGCCAUGAAGUGGGUAGAGAGUGAGGGGGGCUGAUGUGAUAAAUAGAAAGGGAUAUGCCCUUUUCUUCACCUAUUGAUUUGAUUCCUGAAUGGGAUGAAAAACUUCUGUGUGGAGGAAUUUGAAAUACCUGAAUGCAAAAUUCUAUUUCACAUGCAUGUCUAAAGUUUGGUUAAGAUUUUCUUUUGUCCUAUCUAAAUGCUGCUCUUAUUUUACUGCAAAUUUAAUACUUUUAUAAUGGAUCACAAGUUGAUUGUUUCAUUCUUGCCUCUAGUUUAUUCAAUUCAGGCAUACAGAACAGAAGCUAAACCGAAAAAUUGCUUUACAUUUUUGCAGGCCAUAUUUAGAGGGGCCAUGAAAGGCAAAUUGAUUGUGAAUUGCCCUCUGCCCCCUGAGCGGAUACCAAAAUAUCAAUUGUUAUUUAAGGACUUGUAAAGGCAGCCUGCUUAGAUCUUAUGUAAUUUCCAGGCAUUAUGAUUUUCUGAUAUCAUUUUAUGAAUGUAUACUAGUUACAGUUUAUAAAAUUUUGUCCUCUCCACUUGUAGAAUACUGCAUUCGUUAAUAUAAAUAAAUGGAUUUCAAAAUUCUCUUUAUCAAUUAUCGUUAUUGCCUCCUUUAAUGUAAUUGCCUCUGCUGGCCCUGGAGAGUAAAUUACCUGACAGCAAAUUUGGCAAGUGCAUUAAUGAAGUCAGCACAAUUAGAUAACUUUGAUCAAGCAUUAGAGCUUUACCCAUGAAGAUCGACUGGAAUGGUAAAAUAUGUCUGAGUCAGCGAUGAUGUCUGGAAAAUAUGAUGAUAUUGUAUUUGUGAAGUUUUAAUAUAUAUGGUCAAUGUAAGAAAUUAUAUUUCAAGGUAUCAUAUAAUUAGAAUUAUCUGUAUUCGCCGUAUGUUGCAAAUUAUUGAAAAAGCAAUCCAGUUAUAGAAAAUUCAAAGGAGUUAUUAUUUUGACGUCCAAAUCAAUUAACAAAAUAGU
rnacentral:lncRNA from 1 species